rnacentral:lncRNA from 1 species
CUGGAGGCCGGGGCUCGUAGCAGGUGUUUGGGAUUCUGGGUCUCGCAUGUCUCGGUCCUAACCCGGGAGUUUCGGAGCUGAGAGGAAGGGUUUGUUGGCUUUUCAGGAUUCAGACAUAUGCCUCCUUGGGUUUUUGGGCUUGUUGCAUAGCCCCCGGAGGGGCUGCGUUGGAUUCUGGGUCUCCCACUUCUCCAUCCUUCCCCGUAAGUUUCUUAGUUGAGACCCCCUGGUCUGGAGGAUGUGUGGGAAACACUGACCCGUUUCUGUCGGGUACAGGGAGAGGCUUCAGCCCUGAUGAGCCAUGGUAAGAUACAGCCCCGGGCGUGGAGGCCCGGGGCGAGCCGGAGCACUAUCCAUUUUGUGCAUCCUAUCCUCCGAACUUCCCCGGGAGAUUCUGAGCUGAGACCCCCUGGUCUGGAGGCUGUGUGGGAAACACUGACCCGUUUCUGUGGGGUACAGGGAGAGGCUUCAGCCCUGAUGAGCCAUGGUAAGAUACAGCCCCGGGCGUGGAGGCCGGGGCUCGUAGCAGGUGUUUGGGAUUCUGGGUCUCGCAUCCCUCGGUCCUAACCCGGGAGUUUCGGAGCUGAGAGGAAGGUUUGUUGGCUUUUCAGGAUUCAGGCAUAUGCCUCCUUGGGUUUUUGGGCUUGUUGCAUAGCCCCCGGAGGGGCUGCAUUGGAUUCUGGGUCUCGCAUCUCUCGGUCCUAACCGGGAGUUUCGGAGCUGAGAGGAAGGGUUUGUUGGCUUUUCAGGAUUCAGGCAUAUGCCUCCUUGGGUUUUUGGGCUUGUUGCAUAGCCCCCGGAGGGGCUGCAUUGGAUUCUGGGUCUCGUAUCCCUCGGUCCUAACCCGGGAGUUUCGGAGCUGAGAGGAAGGUUUGUUGGCUUUUCAGGAUUCAGACAUAUGCCUCCUUGGGUUUUUGGGCUUGUUGCAUAGCCCCCGGAGGGGCUGCGUUGGAUUCUGGGUCUCCCACUUCUCCAUCCUUCCCCGUAAGUUUCUUAGUUGAGACCCCCUGGUCUGGAGGCUGUGUGGGAAACACUGACCCGUUUCUGUCGGGUACAGGGAGAGGCUUCAGCCCUGAUGAGCCAUGGUAACGACUCAGGGCCUGGAGGCCCGGGGCGAAGCA